rnacentral:rRNA from 1 species
CAUGGCUCAGAACGAACGCUGGCGGCGUGCUUAACACAUGCAAGUCGAACGCGAACGAGUUCUUCGGAACUUUAGUAGAGUGGCGCACGGGUGAGUAACGCGUAAGUAAUCUACCCUGACAUCUGGAAUAACUCACCGAAAGGUGUGCUAAUACCGGAUACGCUGAGUAAUCAGGAAAGGUGGCCUCUUCAUGAAAGCUACCGUGUCGGGAGGAGCUUGCGUACCAUUAGCUUGUUGGUGGGGUAAUGGCCUACCAAGGCGACGAUGGUUAGCGGGUCUGAGAGGAUGAUCCGCCACACUGGAACUGAAACACGGACCAGACUCCUACGGGAGGCAGCAGUGAGGAAUAUUGCGCAAUGGGGGCAACCCUGACGCAGCGACGCCGCGUGGAUGAUGAAGGCCUUCGGGUCGUAAAAUCCUGUCAGAUGGAAAGAAAUGCCAUAUGCCUAAUAUGUGUAUGG